GUUGCAGUUAAAAAGCUCGUAGUUGGAUUUCGGGGCUCCUUAUGUAAUAGUCAUGCGGUGGACACUUGCUUGUUGCUUUAGGGGGGUGUUUUUUUGGGGCAACCCGAGGACACCACCCGGCGGCAGGGGAAAGGCCACUGCGGGCGGGGCCCAUUUAUAUUUCUCGAAGACGUCACGGGCCCUUAACUGGUGUACUGUGGUCGCGGAUUCGAGACGUUUACUUUGAAAAAUUAGAGUGUUCAAAGCAGGCAAUCAAAAACGCUUGAAUACAUUAGCAUGGAAUAAUGGAAUAGGACUUUGGUCUUAUUUUGUUGGUUUCUAGGACUGAAGUAAUGAUUAAUAGGGACAGUUGGGGGCAUUCGUAUUUAAUUGUCAGAGGUGAAAUUCUUGGAUUUAUGAAAGACGAACUUCUGCGAAAGCAUUUGCCAAGGAUGUUUUCAUUAAUCAAGAACGAAAGUUAGGGGAUCGAAGACGAUUAGAUACCGUCGUAGUCCUAACCAUAAACUAUGCCGACUAGGGAUCAGUGGGGAACAAAUCAAAAAACUCCAUUGGCACCUUAUGAGAAAUCAAAGUUUUUGGGUUCUGGGGAAAGUACCAACGCAAGUUGGAAACUUAAAGGAAUUGACGGAAGGGCACACCAGGCGUGGAAUCUGCGGCUUAAUUUGACCCAACACGGGGAAACUCACCAGGUCCAGACAAAAUAAGGAUUGACAGAUUGAGAGCUCUUUCUUGAUUUUUUGGGCAGUGGUGCAUGGCCGUUCUUAGUUGGUGGAGCGAUCUGUCUGGUUAAUUCCGAUAACGAACGAGACCUUAACCUGCUAAAUAGCGACGUCAUUCCUUGUGAAGGACGGAUUUUGACUUCUUAGAGGGACUAUCGGUGACUAACCGAUGGAAGUUUGAGGCAAUAACAGGUCUGUGAUGCCCUUAGAUGUUCUGGGCCGCACGCGCGUUACACUGACAGAGGCAGCGAGUUUUUUUAAAUAUCCUGGCCUGGAAAGGUUUGGGUAAUCUUGUGAAUCUCUGUCGUGAUGGGGAUAGAUCUUUGUAAUUAUCGAUCUUCAACGAGGAAUGCCUUGUAAUCGCGGUUCAUCAAAUCGCGUUGACUACGUCCCUGCCCUUUGUACACACCGCCCGUCGCUACUACCGAUUGAAUGGUUUAGUGAGGUCUCGGGACUGGCGCGGCUUGGCUGUAAAAGGCCGAUCCAUGCUGGGAACUUGCCCAAACUUGAUCAUUUAGAGGAAGUAAAAGUC
rnacentral:rRNA from 1 species